UACGUAGGGUGCAAGCGUUGUCCGGAAUUAUUGGGCGUAAAGGGCUCGUAGGCGGUCCGUCACGUCGGGAGUGAAAACUUGGGGCUUAACCCCAAGCCUGCUUCCGAUACGGGCGGACUAGAGGUAGGCAGGGGAGAACGGAAUUCCUGGUGUAGCGGUGAAAUGCGCAGAUAUCAGGAGGAACACCGGUGGCGAAGGCGGUUCUCUGGGCCUUACCUGACGCUGAGGAGCGAAAAGCGUGGGGAGCAAACAGG
rnacentral:rRNA from 1 species